rnacentral:lncRNA from 1 species
UUGCAACAUAGGCAAAAGCAGAAGUGAGUACAGAAUUAAAUCUGAGGAAGCAUUAACUCUCUGACUGUAGAGGAAGUUCAGGGAUACAUUUCUGUGUUCCUCAAAAGGCCUUCCAUAAAUACCUGUUGAAUGAACAAAUGAAUGGAUUAAAUCUUUUAGGCGAGGUCCCAGAUCCAAACGAGAUGUAUCAGUAGCUUCUGGAAGCCAGUGAAAAAACUUUUAUCUUUCAACAAUUGCGGGAUGCAGCCUCCAGGGCAUAUUCACCCCUACCUCCACCUCGGGAAAUAAUUUUGGAGAAAGGAGCAUACCUGUACUGCCAGCCUUUUGCACUGCCACCGCGGCUGCUGCUGCUGCUACUGAUUCCACCUCCACAGCUGCUGUUCUUGUUCGGGGUCACCGCUGUGGCCUGGCCCUCCAGCUUUCCUUCGCUCUCCGAGACUUUCAUUGUGGACACUGGUUCACCCCCCUGCAUCUUAACGCCAAAGUCCACUUGCCCUUCUUGAGCGGGAGAGAACAAUUCUGUAGUUCUGUAGGUGACUUUUUUUUUUUAAGAUUUGAUCUGAAUAUGAUACCGGUUGCUAAAUCACACGGCGGCUGGGGCGGGACUGUCAAAUGGUCCAGAAAAGGAAGAUACACAUUCCCACAGAAGUUAAACUUUUGAGAGGGCAGGGGAAGCAACGAGGACAGAUAUCCUUCACAUGUAUCUCUCUCCUUUCCGGCAAAAGCAAGGAGGAAAAAGCAUCCGGCGAGAAGACUUAAGUGACAUACUCAAAAGAGAAGGAGUGUGGGGAGGUCGCAGAUUCUGUAGCCAAGACGGCUGGGAAAAGGACGGAGCGCCACGGACAGGGGACCCGCGGCCUAACCUCGGGGCUGACCCGCCGCGCUCCCUCGUCUCCUCCGCAGGUCCUCAGGCAGUGCGUCCAGUCAAGCCCGCUCGGCAGUUCCCGCCGCAGCCCCCGAGAUACAGCCAGGGCCGGCGCGCGCAGCCGGGGAGGAGGGUCGGGGAAUGAGGCCGCCGGGGGCGGGACGCCGGCUCCCGGGGCCGCCUCUCCCAGGGCCAGAGGCGAGCCACUCGGGACAACUUCCUCUUAUGCCCCUGGCCCGGGCCCUCGACUGGGUUCCCAGGAGCCGGCUGAGCUGAGGGACGACAGAGAGGAAAGCCAUUCAGCUCCAGGGUCCUGACAAAAAGUUGGUUGACCCUGUAGAUGUGAGCAGAACUCUCAAAGUCACAUCACCCAAGAGGAAAACUAGUGUUUCUGCUACUGCUUCAGUGAGCGCAACUAAUCUGAUCAGCAUGGUCCAGGGACAGUUGAGAGUUCUUGGGCAAGAGGGGAAUCUGCUGCUGCAUCGAGCUUCUAAUGAAGACAACAGGCACCAGUGAAGUCAGCGUUUGCUUGGCGAUGAGUAGAGGCACAGUUUGUUUUCAGAUUAAUACCAGGCACUCUGCGGGGCAGCCUGGAGCCACCUCCUUUGUCUUCCCAUGUUAUGCACAGGUACUUUGGACACUAUACAAUCUGUGCAGUUGACAUAAGGUAUGGACCCCAACCGACUUCCUUAAGAUUAAAAACGCUGACAACUUCUUAAAUACUUACAUUGACUACAGAAAAA